GAAGCCGUCAGUCACCCGCCGGCUACCGCUGCCCGCUGCUUGGGGACAAUCCAGCCCAUCCCUGCGCAUCCUCCGGGGGAGCCACCGCGAGCCCCGCUUUCCAGAAAGGGCUGCAGGUUCGCGGGGAGAGCGCCCCACCUCUGGGCCAUCCGGGAGCGUCUCCCUGGGCUUUAAACCUAACCUGAACUUCUUGGAGAAACUAAGAACAUCUGAGAAGGGCUGUUUUAGAAAAGGUCUGCUUUCUUCACAAUCCCUGCACCCAGAUAGCCAGCAUCUUUUUGUCUUCAGUUGUCAAAAUCAGUGAUGCUCUUGGACUGUUGUACCACAAGGAUUGAAUGGUGCCCCUUCUCGCCUUUCUCAGACAUUGAAGCAAAACCUGGAGAGGCUCAGAUUCCCAAAUGUUUCCACCUGAUCUAAUGCACUGAUGAUUUGUUGCUUUGCUCUCCUGAUCAAAGGGCUUCAUCUGAGGAUUCCAUGUCUCUGUGGAAGCAGCAGGCACAGAGAGAGAGCACAGGGCAUCUAAAAAUAAAUCGCAAUAACUCAGACCACUGUCCCCUGAUUGGGACAUGAUUUGUCUGCCACAGGUGCCUCUCUAUCCCCAGAAUGACUUAAAACUACUCAACGUUUUCCUCAACCUGAGACCAAAAGACAACUGAGAGCGUUCCUGGGACUCACUGACUGUUGCCUUCAGUGGGUUUCCAGCUUUCCCGUACUGCUUCCCCUUUAUGUGAAUUAACUAACUCUGCCACCCCUGAACCUUACCAUGGACAGAGGUUCAUGAGCAAGCCUUUGCCACUUUAAAACAAGUCUUAAUCCAACCCCCAACUCGAGGAGUUCCCAACCAUAACAAAGCCUUCACUGUUUUGGUAACAGAAAGAGAACAGGCUCUAGGAAUAUUAACUCCAGGACAUGGUGGAAGAGAAAGAGCCAUCACCUGCCAUAGCAUGUGAUUAGAUCCUGUUGCAAAGGUGUAUCAUCCUCGCUUGACAGCAGUUACGGCGGCAGUUAGGUCAAGCUUCUGCUGCUUUAGGCCCUCUUCUGGUGUUGAAAGCCCCAUUUGCUAUUUGGAAAUUAUUACACACAGCUAGCACUCAACAUUUUUCUGCUAGUAGACUUAUUUCUUAUGAAAUAUUAUUGUUAACUCCUCAGAUUCAACAGUAUCCCUCAUGAUUGCAUAGCACUAACUUCUGAACUAAGUAUGGCUAGAAAGGAUUUAAAUGAAACUCUCCUUCAAAAUUCUGACUUGAUUUUUGUUUGUUGGUACCUCCUAUCUUAAAACUGAACAAGGAAAUUUCCAGGCAGAGUGUGCUAUAACAUCUCAAUUUGAACAGAUAGAAGAUGGAAAUCUGCCUGAUUUCAAAUCUGCUCAACAAGUAGAACUUUUUCUUUAACCUGAGUUUGCCAUCCAGCAUAGGGAAAAACUGCUAAUAUAUAUAUACCAAAAGUAGGUAUGCUUGUGGAGAGGGUCGUGGUUUUGGAAAGUUGUGGAUACCAAGAGGGUUUGACCUCAUCAAAUACUCCCAUCAAAAAAUGGCCCUCAAGUAGCUAAACUUUUAAAUGCUUUAAUGCUAUAAAAAAAUUAGCUAGAAUUAAAAUUUAAGCUCACACUUGUAACAUUGAUCCUGAAUACCAAGAAAAUGUUUUGGCUGAUCAUUAUGCUAAAGCUGUGGCUAAGAAAUCAAUCUUCUUUACUGCAAACCCCUCCUCUUGAAUUUUUAAAGCCCAAAUAGAAGCCUCAGAUUUGGGAAAACAAGGUUGGAGAUAUCAGGGAUUUGAAAUAAACCCUGAAAAUGGAUUCUGGAUGAGCCAGAAUGGCCACCUGGUUCUUCCUGGAUCCCUCAAAAUUCCCCUUCUCUGAACUUUAGGUGCUACCACCCACCAUGGGACUGAAAAUCACAUUGAGGUCAUGUCCAGAGAUGGGUGGGGAAACUGUGAAAGGCAGCUUAGAACAUUUACAACCUGUGCCAUACUUGUCAAAAUCACAAUCCAGGAAAAACCUUCAAGUCUUCCUUGGUUCUGCCCCUCCUCCUGGAAGAUCCCUUGAGCUUUGGCAGAUGGACUUUAUCCCAGGAUCCCCAUACAUGUGGUGUUCUUUUGUACUUGUUAUGGUCUGUUUACUUUCUGAUUGGGCAAAAGCUUUCUUUUGUCAAAAGGCUGAUGCCACCACUGUCACCAAAAACCUGCUUGAAUAAAUAAUUCCCACUUGAGGAGUAACUUAAAAGUUUCCUGUGAUAGAGGCACACAUUUCACUGGAAAAAUUAUUUAAAAAAACUCUUUUGAGUAUUACCAAUUCAACAACAUUUACACUGCCCCUAUCACCCACCAUCAUCAGGAAAGGUCAAAGGCUCAAAUGGAACACUAAAGCUCAAAUUGGCUCACGUGGUCAAAUCACUAAAGUUUCCUUGGCCAAAAGUGCCUCCCCUGGCGUUGUUGGCUGUCAGAUCCUUCCCUUCAAGAAAACACCCACGAACCCUUAUGAAAUUGUUACUGGAUCACCUAUGAAUCUCAGCACUGCCCCACAUGUCAAACCUGCUUUAGGUCAGUCUACCUUAAUUCAGUAUUGCAGAGGAUAAAUGAAAUAUUCUAAAGCCCAUUCCCAACGGGUACAAGAGGCAUUUUGAUACCCUCCUCCUGAUAACAAAUGUCUUCACGAUCUGACACCAGGAGACUGGGUACGUUGGAAAAGACACCAGAGGAAACCUGCCCUUAAACUGUGCUGGAAGGGACCAUGGCAGGUCUGCGUUCCUCUCGCACACCAACCAAAUCAGAGGACCCUGACCCCUGGCUUCACAUCUCGCAACUUAAGCACGUUCCUCCAAGAGACUGAACUGGGACACCCACCCCUGGAGAUGACUGUAAGUUAAAACUAACUGGGAAUGGGAACCAACUGGUCCCAGAAGCUGAAGACCUCACAAAGUAGACAGCUUUCCCAAGCUGAUUUAUUAUUUUGGGUGUUAUAUGAUUUCCUCUCUUUGGGUUUAAACAUCGGUGUUACCCAUACACAACGUACCAAAAUGAUUCUGUUAUUCCUUACCUUUGCUUACACACAAUUUUGUCAUUCAUCCUUAGGUAUGUCUUGAGUUUAGCAGCCAAUCUUUCCAACUGUUGGAUUUGUCACCAUGUCACUGAAACAAAACCAUUAGAACUUUUGCUCCUACCAGAAAAAUUAUUCCUUUUGGUAUGAUUCUUUUGGUGCUUGGAUCUCAGAUAUAGACAGCUCCUUUGAUUUUUGCAAUAAUAGAUCCUUUUUCCUUUUCCUUUCCAAAAACCAAAUAUUAAAUAUCCCAUAUAUAUUUUGAGAAAGCAAACUAGUAGAACAUUUUUUUAGGACAGGUAAAAAACCAGACAUUGUGAACUCACUGCUCGGCUUCAAUGUAAUCUCAUAGCAAACAUUGCUACAAGAAACCAUACCCAUGUCUGGUUUUGCAAUCUAUCGGCCCUUAUCCCUCAUUCUGGAAAAUCCUGCAUCCCUCUGACAAACCCUUUUCAACUUUUAAUUUAGGUGCCACCCUUUAUGCAGCAUGAUGUGCUUUGACCUGGCCAAACCUAAACAAAUGCUCUUUAAACUGUUCUGACUCUUACAAAAAUGUAUCUUUAUCCUUGAGAAGAACUGGAUUAUAUUUUCAUUGUGGACACAGCCUUUACCAGAUUUCACCCCUCAAUUGGCAAGGACCUUGUGGAUUAGGGUAUUUAUUCCAAAUCUCCAAUUCUUAAAGACCCUAAAUACUAGUCAAGUUUAAAAUCUAAGGUCUUUUGUUCAUGGGCUUAAAAGAUAUGGUAACCCUUUAUAAUUGAUCAGGCUUCUGUUUUUCACUCCCUUGUUAGAGCAAUUUUCCCUAGUUUAGGAACUUCUGAACUAAAGAGAACCAUUAGAAAUGUAUACAAAUCUAUAGAAGUCUUUUAAUUCUACUUUAGCUAUUAUUGAAGGACUUCAGACAGAAGCGAACAGUUUGUCUAAAAAGGUAAUAUGAAGUAGAGAAGCCUUGGAUCUGUUAAUAGCAACCCAAGGCAGUACCUGUGCUUUAAUACAUGAAACUUGCUGCUGUCACAUAAACUCCUCUGUAAUAAUAGAAACUAAAAUUGAUCAAAUUAAAAAUCAGCUAAAGGUAUUCCAUUCCUUGGGAGAAAUUCAUAUAUUUACUUAGGGUGAUCUGUUUCCAGGAAUGAGAGACUGUUUGAUGGAGCCACAGGAGAGUACUGAGGAUUAUAAUAGGGGGUCUUAUUUUAUUAGCCAUGUUAUAUGUCGGCUUCACUUGUAUUUUUUUGUCACUCUAAUGUACUAACCCAAUUGAUCAAACCUUCAUGUACUAUAUGGCAUCAGCUAGUCUUAAUGAAAAUGUGGGAGCAAGUGGAACCCGUACAUGUAAUCAGAAUUCAAGAACAAGAAGAACCCAAAAAUGUAACCCUAACUGCUAAGAUGGGGGCCUACUUUCUCGGAAAAGAUUCUAAUUCCCUAGAUAAUAUUAAUCUUUCUCUUGGAAAAUGUAAAGUAAAAAUGCUCCAGCUGAAGAAGUCAGAAAGCAACGAACUCAACACCAGCAAAGGAAUCUACAAACGUGACUGAUGGAUGUCUGGCAAUAAGUGCUGGUCUUCUAGAAUGAUCAUAUCCUCAUAACUCUGGGAAGGUGACCAAAAGGGGGAUAUUGUUAAAGAAAAUUGACCCCCCAAGGGAGGGAGGGUGUCCUGCCCCAGCCCCCUCCUCUUUUUCCUUCACACAUGCUCACUGCAGCCCAAGAUUUCCAGCAGGCAGAUGUCUCCCGUAGCUAUGCCUUCAAAUCAAGCCUUCUCCUGAGGCUGUGUUUCUGGCAGCUUCCUGACUACUUCCACGUGGGGUCUCAGACCCAACGCUCAAGCUGAAGUCCCUUCUCUACCUUUUGUGAUGGUUAAGUUCAUGUGCCAACUUGGCUAGGUUAUGGUGUCCCGUUGUUUGGUCAAGCAAACACUAGUCUGAUUAUUACUGUGAGGAUAUUUCAUAGAUUUAUAUCAUUAGUCAGUUGAUUGCAUUUAUGGCUGAUGACAGCUACAGGCAACAAAGGAGCGUAUCUUUAACAAUGAGAGAAGUCUCGUCCAGUCAGCUGAAAGCCUUAAAGGAAGAACUGAUGACUUCAGCAGUCAGAAGGAAGAAUUUCUCUCUCUCCUUCAGCCAGCCAGCCACCUUCUCCUGGGGAAUUCAUCAAAACCUUCAUCAGAGUUACCAAAUGUGGCCUGCCCUACAGAAUCCGGACUUAGCAAUCCCCACAGUUGUCUGAGCCAGUUCCUAUAAUAAAGCUCAUAAUAUUUACGUGCAUAUAUCCCAUCAGUUCUGUUUUUGUGGAGAACCUAAUACGCCCUUCCAAAGGCAGUCCUGAGAUCCAAGACAGAGCAAAAUUCUCCUCUGUGGAAAACACUAGAUAAAAGACAGAAUGUGAGAAUGAGAUUAAGUUUAGCUUUCACACCGGGUGGGUCAGCUCGGGGGAAUGGCAGAAGUCAAGAAGCCAAGCCGUAGUCGGCAGCCAGUCCUCCUGUUUAUCUGCCCACUGUCCUUGCAAGGUGGAGACUUGGGGGGUGGAGGCUCCUAAAUAGCCUCAUAAUUUGUUACCAACUGGCUCUGCCAUUAAGGAGACUCCACUUAAGCAUAGGAGGGGUGUUAGUGCCUUAUAUGGGCAUAACUGUUAUAGUCAGGGGUGGAGACUUGUUUCAAAAGUUUCAAAUCUGCACGGGUUAGUUAGGCUUGUCGAAUAGACUGUAACCUCUGGAGUAUCCAGCCAAUGGAGAAACAGGGGAGGGACUUGCGUGUUAGGCUUAGGGCAUAAGUAGUACUGUGUUCUAUUGUUUGGUUGCGUGCCUGUUCUUGCAAGAUUGUGAAUAAAUUUCUUUUC